GGGUGAAAUGGUGGUGUAAGAGACCACCGGCGUAUGCAGUAAUGCUGCGGCCAGGUAACCCCCAUCAGGAGCAAGGUCAAGCAGGAGCAAAGCCCUUCGGGGCGGGAGGCGGCUCGUCUUCUUUGAGCUUCGGGUAGGCUGCUGGAGCUGAACAGUAAUGUUCAGCCUAGAUAGAUGGUCACCCACAAUCACCAGUUGAUUGGGACAGGAUGCGGCUUAUAGAUCGGCCCGGGUU
rnacentral:RNase_P_RNA from 1 species